AGGGUGUCCGGCCCCUGGGACUGAAUACNGCCCANACUCCUACNGGAGGCAGCAGUGGGGAAUAUUGCNCAAUGGGCGCAAGCCUGAUGCAGCGACGCCNCGUGGGGGAUGACGGCCUUCGGGUUGUAAACCUCUUUCANUAGGGACGAAGCGCAAGUGACGGUACCUACAGAAGAAGGACCGGCCAACUACGUGCCAGCAGCCGCGGUAAUACGUNGGGUNCGAGCGUUGUCCGGAAUUACUGGGCGUAAAGAGCUCGUAGGUGGUUUGUCGCGUCGUUCGUGAAAUCUCACAACUCAAUUGUGAGCGUGCGAGCGAUACGGGCAGACUGGAGUACUGCAGGGGAGACUGGANUUCCU
rnacentral:rRNA from 1 species